rnacentral:rRNA from 1 species
UACGAAGGGGGCUAGCGUUGCUCGGAAUCACUGGGCGUAAAGCGCACGUAGGCGGAUUGUUAAGUCAGGGGUGAAAUCCUGGAGCUCAACUCCAGAACUGCCUUUGAUACUGGCGAUCUUGAGUCCGGGAGAGGUGAGUGGAACUCCGAGUGUAGAGGUGAAAUUCGUAGAUAUUCGGAAGAACACCAGUGGCGAAGGCGGCUCACUGGCCCGGUACUGACGCUGAGACGCGAAAGCGUGGGGAGCAAACAGG